CGGUCACAUCACAUUAAAACACCGGUUCCCGUUAAUCACCGAAAUUAAGCAACGUCGAGAGUGGUCAGUACCUACAUGGGUGACUGCUUGAGAAUACCAGGUGCU